AAUCCUAAAUACCUGAUUUGGAUCUUGGCACUCUGACCUCCAAACCUGUGAUACUUGCGGAAACUGACAUCACAUAACAUUAGGAUUUUAUAGUUUGAUGAAGAUACAAUAAGGUCCCCAUAUCCAAGGGGGAUGCGACGCAAUUACCGGGGGAUAUGACUGAAUGCCACUUAAAUUACCUGAUUUCUGGUCUUAGAUUACCAUAGAGUUACCCUGGAGGAUACAUGCUGCAAAAUCAGCUGGCAGACCUAGCAAAUUCCUAGAGAGAGUAUUUUUUCUGGAUGUGGAUAAGUGAAUCUGUAAAUAAGACUACAGCGGUCUCACUAUACCUAGAUUUCUCUGGCAAAUGAUUGACGGUGUAUGAGUGCCACAAAUCAGCAUAAAAAGAUGUAGCUUCUAUGGCCUCAAAACACAUCACAUUCUACAGGUAGCCUAAUUAAUCUAAUGUGAUAUUUAUAGGUGGAACAAGAGUUUUUAAAAAACCAAAGUGUACAAUUAUUUUCUAUGGUGGUACUCAGUUGCUGUUCCCCACAUUUCACAGAUAAUGCCUCCUUCUUUGUCCAUAAUAUACUUUUCUGAGAAUUGGUACAAGCAUAUUACUUCAUGUUACAAGCAAGCUGGCUGUAGGAUGAAUAGCACAGGAACCUUAUUAUUUUCUACAUAUUUUGACUGCAUUUUAUAUAAUGUGCCAAUAGUUGUCAGUGCUCUUUAUUCUAUUUAUCAUGUCAAAAGUGAAUUGAGGGUACAAUUAUAAUGUAUUUUUUUAAAAAAUGGUGCUCUGCAUGUGCAAAAAACUUUGUUUCAUAGAAGAAUUACUACCAUCACAGAGAAGACAUUCUCCUGGGGACUUUUUACACUACAAAAAUAUAGCACAGGGAUGCCUCUCUCAUUGCCAUGGCAACAUCCUUCUGAAUCUUGGGACUGGCACUUUAAAACCCUAAUCAAGGGGUUUAAACUCUGGUGCUUCUGACUAUCUGGCUAUCCUAGGAUUCAAGAGGAUGCUGCCGUAGUAGUUAAAAUGAAAUCAUAGCACUGUAAUUAUGUAAUGUGAAACCCCCUCAGGAUGAAUGCAUGUAUCAUAUCACUUAUCUGUUGUUACUUAUUUCUUGGCUCCUUUUAUCUGAUCUAUUUCCCUGGGAUCAAGAAAAAUCCCUCAUUCCCUUGCAUGCAUAUGCUCAAAUCCAUAUGUUCUCUGAAUAACCUAAAACAUAGGCAAUCCUAAGUGGAUUCAGUAGUGAAAAAACAACAGGAAAGGCACAAAAAUGCCAGUUUAAAAGAAUGCACACUCAGGAUACUUGGGAAUCCAUUUUGCAAUAACAAAAAACUUUUAAAAGGAAGGGUUCCAUUUGCAUUGCCCUCUUUCCCAUCCCCAUAAACAACCCACCUGCUCCAUAACUGUGUAUAUCUGAUGUUAGACUUCCAACCCAUCUUUUUGUUCUCCUUUCUAGGAAAAGCAAGCCAGGCAUUGAUAGGUAGAUAUCAACUUUACAUUACUUCCUAACAUGGACCUCACCCCUUAUCUUCAGACUUCUAUGAAACAGAAGCAGAAAUAUGUGGAAAGAGACAGGAUCCCAAUAUAAAAGCAACAUAGUGUCAAGCAUGCCCCAAAUUUGGCAAGCUUCAAAGAGAGGGCAAUUAGGGCCCCUGAGGUAUUUCAAACACUUUCCUUGAAUGUUCAGAUUCCCCCCCCCCCCCAAAUAGUAAAUUGUUAACUUUUUUCUUUCUAAAACAACCAGAAAAAAUACACAGGCAGAGAUUUAUACAGCUGCUCUCUUUUUCCCCUGACUGUACUAUCAUUCUAUAUUUCUUUAACAAAAUUACUCUAUUUACUCAAUUAUAAUGCUUGCCUUUUUGGCUAAAUCACCUCUCUCCAAAAUUAAAGUGUGCAUUAGAUAAUCUUACUGUAACCUUAAUACUGAACCAAAUUAAAAGGGUAGCUGCUUCACCUGGAACCACUAUUUGAGGGACAUCAUCUCUCAUUUAAUGGUUAUUUGUAGUUAGGCGAGGCAUUAGCAUACUUUGGCAAAGAAGGCUCAAGGCCUUGUAAAACUACAGCCCCCAGGAUUCCAUAGCAUUGAACCAAGGCAAUUAAAGUGGAUUCAUCCUACAACAUAGAUGCACCCCAAGGUUUUAUUUUUCAUUGCUGGAAGCUUUGGUGUUCUCAAUUACAAAUAGUGCGGUUUCUGCCAUUGCGCAUUACAUUCAGCAUCAAAUUUAUUUAUUUUUUUGUUUCAGGGGUUUGAAAAUUGAGGUGCGUAUUACAUUGUAUGAUGCAUUAAAUUUGAGUAAAUAUGGUAAAUUAAAUUAAAUGUAUAUCAUGAACGAAAUAGUUUAGAACUAAACAUGACUAGGUCUUCUUGUUUUUCCUCUCUACUUGACUUUGUUUUCAAAACCUGCAGCCUGAAUUCUAUUAGUUAAUCCCCUUAAUUAGUUAAGCAGAAUCUUUAAGUCUUCUGCAUAGUGAUAGACCACUGAACAAUUGAUUCAACAGGUUGACGUAGUUGAGAUAAACCUAUAGGAUUUAGGUGUGUAUGUCCUUUUCUUCACCAAGGAUGGCAUCUUUUUUUUUUUUAUAAAUCAUUUUUAUUAAAGAAUAUUUUUAAAAAGAUUGACAUCUUCUAGAUUUGCUAAGGGAAGGUAUGGGGGAGGGAAGGGUUUAGGUUAGUCGGGGAGGGUUAAUAGGGGGUGAAUGAGUGAUUCUGAGAAUACUGAGGGAUUGGGUACAUAUUUUUGGGUUGGUGAGAUUUAUCUAAAUAGAUUGACAGAUAGAUUUGUAAGAGUGUGGGUUUUGGGGAAGUCAGAGGGGAAGUUCGGGGAGGAGUCUGAAUACAGACAUCUGGGAAGGUAGCCUAAUGGGGGGAGAGGGGAGAGGGUAGACUUACAAUCUUCUUUCUUCCAUACUAUGUCUUGUCUUAUCCUUUCAGUUCUUCCGCUACGUAUUCUUCAAAUUCGGACCAGUCUGUUUCUUUCAUCGCCUUACUGGUGCUUCUUUUUAGUAAAUAAGUUAGUUUAUCCAUAUUUUUUAUGUCCAUUAAUUUCUCUAACCACAUUGCUUUUUUAGGGCAAUUAGGAUUUUUGGCUAUCACUAUUCUAGCUGCUGUUACAGCAUAUACAUAAAUUUUAGAUUUAUUUUCUUUUUCCCCUGGAGAGUAUAUUGCGUCUUUGUUUUCCAUAUCAUAAAGUCCUAAUAUGUAAUAUUCCGGUUUGCAAUCAAAGUCAUUUUUUAGAAUUUUUUUACAUUCCAUGUGUAUCUCUUUCCAAUAAUUUCUAAUUUUUUUACACUUCCACCAAACGUGAAAAUAUGACCCUAUCCUUUCUUUACAUCGCCAACAUUUCUUAUCUCUAUUUUUGUACAUUAAUCCGAGUUUUUUUGGUGUUAGAUACCACCUAUGGAUUGUUUUUAACCAAUUUUCUUUUAAUUCUAUAGCAUAACAAUAUUUCAUUUUUCUGUUCCAGAUAUUUUCCCAUUCGUCCAUGGUUAUACUUCUGCCUACAUUUCUGGACCAUUUUAACAUUGAUUCCUUUACUAUUUCAGAUUCUGUCUUCCAUUCAAGUAUCUUAUUAUAUAAGAUCGUUAUUACUUUUUUGUUUCUUUUUAGAAGGCCGUCCCAAAAUUUAUUAGUCAUAUUAAAUCCAAUCUCUUUGUCUGUUUUAUAGCUUUCUUUUAUUUGGUGGUAUUGGAACCAAGAUACGUUUUUAUAAAUUUUUUGGAUCUCUUCUAAUUCUUUAAUCGAUGGAUUUUCUGAGGUUCUAUUUAUUUUUCUUAUAAUUUCUUUAUACGUCGGCCAAUUUUCCCAUCCGAGUAAUCUCCGUUGGUUUGCCUCUAAUGGAGAGAGCCAUAAUGGAAUUUUAUUGUAAAAAUAUCUUUUAUAUUUUAACCAUGUUUUAAUCAAAGAUGAUCUCAUAAAAUGGUUCCCGAAAUUUUUAUCUACUUUCAUUUUAUCAUAACAUAGAUAGCCAUGCCAAGGAUGGCAUCUUUUAAGUGACAUAAGCAAACAGAAGUUCAAUGCACUCCUGUGGGUGUGUUUUUGGUCAUUGUUGUAAUAAAUAAAUAAAUAAAUUGUAGUUAUGAUAUUCUUUUCUUUCCUCUCCAGUGACCAAAGUCCUCUCCUGACUGAACUCACUAUUUCCCUGCUGCAGGCAGCCCACCUCCCAUGGCCAUUCCUUGACUGGGGGAGAGCAGAAAGUGUUGUUGAAGCACCGCUCCCACCCCAAAGAAUGUAUAGUUUCCUGAGGACAUCCAGCCAGAAUGAAAUGCAAUGGUGUCCUUCCCUUUAAAUGAGUUCUUCCUCUCAAGCCACAACAGACCAGCAGCAGCCUAACCCUUUCAAUAACUAUAACUCAAACUAUAACUCCUUUUUGUUUUAAUCCUCAAGAUAUUCACUGAUUCGAACCAGUGCAUAUCUCAAUUCUCUCCAAAACAAUCCAUUUACCAUUUCCUAUAACCUUGCAACUAAAUAUCUAAUCUCCCAAAUGUAUUGUAUCUUUUAACUCAGUAAAGUAUCUUUCCCGAACAUUUUCUGUGUUCCAGUUUGAUCUUCUGUGUUCCAGUGUUGCCUCCUGUGUUCCAGUUUGAUUCUGUGCCUUAGACAAUCCUUGAUACCUUGCUUGGAUUAAUCUUGAUACUUUUAUUGGGACUAACUUUGAUAUCCUGUUUGGACUCUAUUCUUUGAGUGACUUUUACAGACUCUUGCUUUAAGAUUCUCAAGUACUUUGUUCUUGGGGCCGGGCUGUGGCGCAGCUGUUGAGCAGCUGCCUUAAAUCACUCUGACCAUGAGGUCAUGAGUUCGAGGCCAGCCCGUGGCGGGGUGAGCACCCGUCAAUUAAAAAUAAAAAUAGCCCCUGCUCGUUGCUGACCUAGCAACCCGAAAGAUAGUUGCAUCUAUCAAGUAGGAGAUAAGGUACCACUUAUAAAGUGGGGAGGCAAGAUUAACUAAUUUACGACCUGGAAUGAGGAAGUGCCGUCAGUGUGGAUGAUGAAGCAGCUGCUCCCCCCUGUGGCCAGAAUCGAACAUCCCCUCAGAAGAAGGUUAACUUGCCUCUGCGUGUGUCUCUCAGUCUCUGUUUGAUGUGUUUAUGGGCAUUGAAUGUUUGCCCUAUGUGUGUUAUAAUGUGAUCCGCCCUGAGUCCCCUUCGGGGUGAGAAGGGCGGAAUAUAAAUACUGUAAAUAAAUAAAUAAAAUAAGACCAGAAAUGCGGUGACCAAAAGGAACACAGGAAGAGGAAGUCCUGUGGGCUCUUCAUCACAGAGAAUGGAGCAACAGCACCCCCCUGUGACUGAAUCUGAGCUCAACCUCCAAGGCACCAAAAACUGGACUUCAGAACAACAUACCUCCUGUCUGUUCUGUUCUGUCCUGUUAUGUCUGUCCAAAUGGCACUGAAUGUUUGCCAUGUAUGUGUACUAUGAUCCACCCUAAGUCUCCUUGGGAAGAUAGGGUGGAAUAUAAAUAAAGUGUUAU